GAGAAAGAAGCUUAGUAAAGAGUCGCCAUGAUUCUCCCACUCCAGACAGACACAGGUUAAGAUCCUCCCUGCCCAUGUUUUUCAGAGAGCUUAAAGAAAUUGUUUGAUUCCCUAGCAGUAUGUUAUCAUCUAUUUUACUAGAGUUCCUCUGCUCUCAAUAAAACAGCAAUAUCAUAAACAACACCUCUGCCAAUCAGCCAGAGGGCCCAGCCAGUAAAGGUGAUGCUCUGGGUUCGAGCCCCACGAUCCACAUGGUGGAGGGAGAGAACUGAGUCCUACAAGUUCCGACUCUACCAGCUUUCUGUGGCCUGCCCCAC